rnacentral:sRNA from 1 species
UUUUGUAAAUUUAAUUGUGGUUGCUAAAAUGAAAGAGGGAAGCAAGUGAGGUCACAAAACCAAUCAGUUAACCGGCAAUCCGGCAUGUACUAGUUAGGAAAUUAGGGGUUUUAAGGAUAUUUCGUUACCACUUCGUUACAAAAAAGUUAUUAUAUGUAAGAAAGCAAAAGCAAAAGAAAAGGUAGAAUUUUGUUGAUGAUAUGUCAUUGUGACAGUGAUAAAAAAAAGUUAUUGAUAUGUUGUUGUAAGAGUGAUUUGGUGAAGUUUAUGUUGUUGUUUCAAAUGAUGCCUUUCAAGGAGAUAAAGAGAACUCAAUAUAUUUAUAUAUAACUAAAGCAUAGCAUGAAUAACUAGUGCAUAUACUCAACAUAAAUGGAUUUGGACACAGGCCUCUAAAGUCCUAAGCACGGCACUGGUCUCAAACACUCUUGUUCCUGGACUUGAUGCGGCGACCGGACUACAGAAUAUUGAAGAUGAUUGUGUUUUAGAUUGAUUCUGAAAUCUGAAUGAUAGAUACUGAUUUGACGUUGAUAAACUCCUUAUGUUUCAAUUCACGCCUUAUGUUUUAUUACAUUUUUACGUUGUUAUCUUAUAGGAUUUCUAUUUAAUUUGUUGAGGUAAAUUAAGUUUGUUGUGUUAUUUCAUGGUAUAUAUAUAACAUUAUUUUCAAUUCAAGAUAUUAUAACGCACCUACAAAAUUUUGUUUUGACAUCUCCGCAUUAAAUCAAAUGAUACAAACUUUGAGUACUUUUAAGUCGUUCUUAUCUAUAAAAAAA